rnacentral:rRNA from 1 species
AUAACAGAGUUUGAUCUGUACAUCGCAUAAGACACUGGCCAUAGUUUAUGUCAGUAUCGAUUGUAGCUACGUCGAGCAUGCCAGAGUUCAUAUCAGCGAAGUAGAUCAGCCAUCGAACCGCGAGUCCUUCUUAACUAGCCGACUAGAUGAAUGGCUCAACACCAUUCAGUCCUAUGAGAAUCAAGUUUGGUUCUGGGGGAGUAUGUCGCAAGACUGAACUUAAGAAUUGACGAAGGCCCCCCCAGGAGUGGAGCCUGCGGCUGAGUGUGACCUGAACACGGGAAACCUACCAGGUCCAGACAUAGUAGGAUGACAGAUGAUAGCGUCGUUCUGAUUCUAUGGGUGGUGGUGCAUGCCCGUUCUUGUUGGUGUGGGUGCUUGUCUGGUUAUUCCGAUGACGAACGAGACUUAACCUGCUAACUAGAUUCGAUCAUCUUAUGGUCGUUAUCUUCUUAGAGGGACUAUGUAACAUAAAUACAUGGAAGUUUGAGGCAAUAAAAGAAACAAAAAAGCCCUUAUAUGUCCUGGGCUGCACGCGUGCUACACUGAUGUAUACAACAAGUGCCUAGUCAGACAUGGCAUGGCAAUCUCGAAUAUGCAUCGUGAUGGGGAUAGAUCUUUGCAAUUAUAGAUCUUGAACGAGGAAUUCCUAGUAAGUGCAAGUCAUCAUCUUGCAUUGAUUUUUACCUGUCUCCUUCUGCACACACCGCCCUCGCUCCUACCGAUACCGGGUGAUCCGGUGAACCUUUGGACCUAACUGGGAAGAUAAGAAACCUUCCCUGGAUUGAGAAUGACAGCUCGAAGGGAAC